AUCAUGCUGAUUAGUUCCAAAUAGGAUGAAACGCGCGUCUUUGAU
rnacentral:hammerhead_ribozyme from 1 species